rnacentral:rRNA from 1 species
AUUCCAGCUCCAAUAGCGUAUAUUAAAGUUGUUGCAGUUAAAAAGCUCGUAGUUGGAUUUCUGGUUUGAUGCCCUGGCCCGCUGCUAUUUUGGUAGUGUGUGCCGGUUGUGCGUCUGCCAUCCUUCUAGGGAACGUUCCUUCUCUUCACUGAGCCGGGUUCGUGAUCUAGAUCGUUUACUUUGAAAAAAUUAGAGUGUUUAAAGCAGGCUUUUGCUAUGAAUACAUUAGCAUGGAAUAAUAAUCUAGGACUUCGGUCAUAUUUUGUUGGUUUCUGUAACUGAAGUAAUGAUUAAUAGGGACAGUCGGGGGCAUUUGUAUUCAAACGACAGAGGUGAAAUUCUUGGACCGUUUGAAGACAAACUACUGCGAAAGCAUUUGCCAAGAAUGUUUUCAUCA